rnacentral:tRNA from 1 species
AGGGUAGUGAUGGAAUUGGUAGACAUGAAUAGUUUAGGUCUAUUUAAUCAUUAAGAUUAUAUCCGUUCAAGUCGGAUUUACCUUA